AAUGGAUAUACAGGUAAUGGUGUUACACAGUGUGAACGGGUAAUCGAAACUGGCUGCACAGAGAAUUCGUGUCCAGCAAAUACUGAAUGUAACAAUGUAGGAAAUACUUUUAAAUGUUCAUGUGCCCAGGGAUACACAGAAAAUUGGUAUGGUUCUGAGUUAUCGUGCACAGAGACCUGUGUAGUUAACACCAGCAUUUGCCAUCCAUCGGCUCAGUGUGUGACUGAUACGUCAGGACAUUAUGUUUGUCAAUGUAGACAAGGAUACAUAGGAAAUGGUUAUUAUUGCAAAG